AACGAACGCUGGCGGCAUGCCUAACACAUGCAAGUCGAACGCCCUCUUCGGAGGGAGUGGCGCACGGGUGCGUAACGCGUGGGAACCUGCCCUUAGGUUCGGAAUAACGUCAGAGAAAUUUGAGCUAAUACCGGAUAAUGUCUUCGGACCAAAGAUUUAUCGCCUUUGGAUGGGCCCGCGUUGGAUUAGCUAGUGGUGGGUAAAGCCUACCAAGGCGACGAUCCAUAGCUGGUCUGAGAGGAUGAUCAGCCACACUGGGACUGAGACACGGCCCAGACUCCUACGGGAGGCAGCAGUGGGGAAUAUUGGACAAUGGGCGAAAGCCUGAUCCAGCAAUGCCGCGUGAGU
rnacentral:rRNA from 1 species